UGUGUAGUUGCUGUUACUUUUAACAGCUAAUGCAAUCUGGAUGAGUCACCUAUGAAUGCCAUACUGGAAUCUGUUGCGCUUUUGUUGAUCAUUAUUAUUUUGCAAUCCAGGCUAGGGGAUCGAAGAAGCACUUGAAGAGGCUCAAUGCGCCCAAGCAUUGGAUGCUCGACAAGCUUGGCGGAGCUUUUGCUCCCAAGCCAUCUUCUGGAUCUCACAAGUCCAAGGAGUGCCUGCCUCUGAUCCUCAUCAUCAGGAACAGGCUCAAGUAUGCACUGACGUACCGUGAGGUCAUUUCUAUCCUGAUGCAACACCAUGUACUUGUUGAUGGCAAGAUGUCAUUUCCAUCCCUAAGACAAACGAGAACUACAGGCUGCUUCCGUCUUCACCCAAUCAGGGAUGAGGAUGCCAAGGUUAGGCCAAUUCUCUUACACAUCAUCUCUCAUUGUUCUAGUUGAGCAUGAUGAUCUUGGUAGCUGUGUGAGGUUACUGUUUUUCAUUAGUAGAUCUGUGUACCUUAUCCUUGCUAUACUGUCCAUAUAUGAUGUGUGCAUGAAAGUCUUGCAUUGAAAAUGUCAUGUGCUACAAUCGUUAGGACUAUUAUUAGAUGUUGCUCUGUCUAUCUAUCCAUUUACAUCGCUGGAAAUUCCCAUGCCCUUUCAUAGUACGCCUGUGAAAUGCUCACUGCUUUUCUAUUGGUUUGUGUGCAGUUCAUGCUCUGAAAUAUGAGGUCUGUUCAGUUUGGCCAGAAAGGCAUCCCCUACCUGAACACCUACGACGACCGCACCAUCCUCUACCCCGACCCGCUCAUCAAGGCCAAUGACACCAUCAAGAUCGAUCUGGAGACCAACAAGAUCAUGGACUUCAUCAAGUUUGACGUCGACAACGUUGUCAUGGUGACCGGCAAGAGGAACACCGGGCGUGUAGGAGUGAUCAAGAACAGGGAGAAGCACAAGGGCAGCUUCGAGACCAUCCACGUGCUGCUUGGAGCUUUUUGCUAUGUCUAGUUUUCUUCUAUUUGUUGUACAGGAAAACAUAGAAUGAAAUUCAAAUUUGGUGGCCGCAAAAGUGUAGAGACUUGAUUUCAUAUAAAGUUAGGC